AGAAGAGGAGCGAGCACGGUGACGUAUGACUUCGCGGGUGCGCGCAUGUGGCCACAGUCGCGUCCACGUCGAGGUAAACAGUUACCUGGUAGAGUGGAGGACGGAGAGUGGAGGCAGUGGGAGACCCAAUGUUGGACUCCAUCCACCGCAAAAACAAAGAAUAUUGUUUCUCGAGUCUGCUUCCGCCUCAAAUGGUUAGUUGGGGAUUUCUCGUGUACUCACCCUUUAACCCUCGGAGAGGAUAUCCCAGAGGAUGAUGGUUGGGUUUGCGUGUGACCACAUAAGGAUCAACAACAUGAGUCUGGAGCUCUGCAAGCUCUCAUUGCCGCCUCCACUGUUUCCCCAAACUGAGGUGAUGUUGAAAGUUCACUCUGUCCAUUCUUCUACAUUGCAUUUCUGCAUUGUUUUACCCAUAAUUCAACAUCGUAAUCAUGAAAAUAAACAACAGGGCUGAUGA